rnacentral:rRNA from 1 species
UACAGAGGGGGCAAGCGUUGCUCGGAAUCACUGGGCGUAAAGGGCGCGUAGGCGGGAUGGCAAGUCAGUCGUGAAAUCUCUCGGCUCAACCGAGAAACGUCGGCUGAUACUGCCGUUCUUGAGGGAUGCAGAGGAGACUGGAAUUCCCGGUGUAGCGGUGAGAUGUGUAGAGAUCGGGAGGAACACCGGUGGCGAAGGCGGGUCUCUGGGCAUUUCCUGACGCUGAGGCGCGAAAGCGUGGGGAGCAAACGGG